AUGAAGGCCGGGCGCCCAGCUCUGCCCUCGUCACCCCACCUCCAGGGAGGAAAUGUGGUUCCAGGCCCUCGCCGGCCUCCGUCUCCCCACCUGGACGGCAUCUCUGAUCGGGCUGUUUGCACCUGCAAAAGGCCUCCCCGGAGACCAGCCCCUGGUCUGGCAGGGCCCCCGGCCUCCUUCCCACUGAAGUCGGCGUGGAGGUCGCUGGCCUCCAACGAUGAGCCCGCCCGAGCUUGGGGGGUCUGGGGAGGACCCGGCGCUUGGACCCCGUCUUCCAACAGAAGCCAGGGGACCGAGGAACCCGAAGCUCCUGCCCAACGGCUCAGUCGGCACGUCCCCGCCCUUCGAGAUCCAGCGUUUCCUUUUGUCGCCUCAUCAUGUGACGAACGUCAUUCAAAACGCCCGUCAGUCCUCAGCAUUUAUCGCAAAAGCCACCCCCGCCUGGAUUCCCACCCCCGCCCCGGAAGCGAAGGUUGGCCACGUUCAACUUUUCGCCUGUCUUGGCCUUGCUUUGGUUUUGCGGGUUUGGCACUUGGCUCCCAGCUUCCAAAGGACCUGCCGUUGUGCUGUGCCCCUCAUCUCGUCAUCCUUCCCUCCAGGUGGCAGAGAUGCAUCGAGCGCGCCCAGCGCCCCGUCCCCCAUAGAGGGAAGCCCCACUUUCCAUUCAACCUGACCCAACGUUAAUCCAUUAGUUAACGUAUGGACUAAAAGUUCUGAAUGAGGCUCACAGGUACAUCAGCUCCCCGCUGUGUCUCCGUCCUACUCUCUCCUCACCCCCAGGGCAGCCCCCGGGGUACGUUCUCCAGUCUCUUGUGUCUCCACCACGAGUUCCUCCCCUGAGCGUUUCCGCAAAGCUGGGAGAACCCACCCUCCUGUGUUUCAUGGGGCGGGGGGGACGGUGGCUGGUCCAGCCCAGUUUUCUCUCUGGAUACAUCCGUCUGGACGGCGUUGUCUNGGGGGGGGGGGGGGGGGGGGGGCGGCUGGUCCAGCCCAGUUUUCUCUCUGGAUACAUCCAUCUGGACGGCGUUGUCUCACCCCUGCUCGCGGGGCUCCGUCUUCCCCUUUGAUGGCCCCGAUCCUGGUCCCACAUCUUCCGGCUUGUGGUUUUGAAACUGACAGCACUAAGGACUCAAACCCAGCCUAAACCCCGUUCGGGAGUUGAACCCACGGUUGUUAACGUAGAAUCCCUCACCUGGUGUCCGGACUUACGGAGGGUCAGCUUCUUUGUGUCCCAGCACAGAAGGAAAUCAAGUGAUAAGCAAGAAAUAGAUUUAUGAAGACAGGACGCUCGUGAGAGACGCCAGCGGGCAGGCAGGGGGCCUCUGCCCCGAGGGUCGGGUGGGCUCUGUUUCUAAUCCACCCGGAGUGGGGCUGGGGAAGGACCCCCGCUUCCUCCUUCGUCAAAGUGCUUUUUCCCUUCCGCAGAGGGCGGUCCUUCAACGCCUGCCCUUGGUGCUAAGGAUCUUCUUGGGGCUGAACUUGAACGCAGGCCUCAUUUUAAUGACCUGAGGCAUAGCUGGUGCUUUUAUUUGUGGUUUUGUUAAGCAAGCCGGCUUCUUUCUGAUGACUUUCUGGAGCGACCAUUAACCUCCGUGGUCUCCCGAAGCCCCCUAGGUUUCCCUGUCUCUCUGUGGUCCCCUCCUGGGACUUGCACAACUGCCCGUGCGACUGUCCUGCUCCAUGC
rnacentral:lncRNA from 1 species